UUUUGAGCAGCAAGUCCCAAGAUCAAGAAAUCAGAAGGAACUAAUACUUUAACUAAUUAGUAGUAAUGAAAAUUUACUAGACAUCAAUGACAAAUUUACAAGGCAAAUUUAUUUCCAAAGUACAUUCAUAUAUAUCACAGUCUUUGCUACAGCAGUGUGUUCCUCUCAAGUCACCCACUCGUUCCUCCAGGGGUCAUUGGAGAGUUAUUAUUUUAAGUCUAGUUCCCAGGUAUGACUUCCAAUGCAGUGAAAGCUUCUACUGAGACUGUCUAAAACAUCUCUUGAAUCAUCUGCCUAGAACACAGCAAGAACCAGGAAAUGAGCUGACAAGACUGAGCAAAAGAGGCAGCAUCAAGCUGAUGAACUGAGGCGUGGGCAUUUUACUCAUGGGAAAGGCCCUCGGAACCCACGCUGAGCAUGCGCUGAAAACAAGUGUGAUCAGUGGGUUCCAAACACCCAGCAGAUACAUGUGAGGGUGAUCUGGCUGUGACUUCUGUCACCCCCUUGAUUACCAGGGUUGAUUCAGUUGAUCUGGCUGGCUAGGUGGGUGUCCCUUUCCCCACUUACUGCUCCAUGUGUGUCCCUCCUGAAUCUGUGCGCUUGGUUGAAGAGGAUGACCAUCCCGGAUAGAGGAGGACCAGUCUUUGGUCAAGGGUAUACAAGUAGCUGUGCCCGCUUGCUAGAACCUCCAAACAAGCUCUCAAGGUCCAAACAUCCAGCAGAUAAUUAGCAAUGGAUUAGAAAAGGGAGCUGGGAAGGUGGAAGGAAGCAGAAACAGUGAGCCCCCGAAUGAAAGAGACAGAAAAACUGAAACCUCAGAAGAGAGCAGUGUGGGGCUAAUGAACCUAGAGGCAAAGGGCCCUACCCAUCAACAGCCCCCAUGAAGGUAGUCACUGGGGGGCCUGAGGAUGCACCAUCAGGGAGAAGUUCAGUUCAAUGUAAUCUGUGGAAGAAAGCAGAGAGCACAGCCUGUCAUGGAGAAGGAUUUCCAUUCAAAACCAUAGAUGUCAUAGAAGUUUCGAUGCUUAAAAGACCUGUGAUUGUCUAGAAAGCUUGGCUUUUCCCAAAGGAUUCUGUGAGGCUGAAGUGUUACCAGGUGAUUAAGGGUCUCACCCUGUCACCCAGGCUAGAGUGCAGUGACACAAUGAUAGCUUAUUGUAACCUCAAACUCCCGGGCUCAAGGGAUCCUCCUGCUUCAGCCUCCCAAGUAGCUAGGAUUACAGGUGAAGAGAAAUGAAGCUAACAUGUUGAAAUGAGUGGCCCCAAGGAUUACCAGAAAAGAAGUUAAUGUUCAGAAAGAGAAAAUAAAAGUUCUCUGUAUUUUAUUCCCCUCAGAGAUAACAAAAGUUGACAUUUUGUUGUAUUUUUCUCUAAGCUUUUUUUUUCCUUUGCUAUAAAUGCAAAAGGCAUCACAAUAUUUGGUAAACAUUUUCCUCUUAUUCAGUAGUUUCUGAAAACAUGAUGUUAAAUAGUUGUGUAACAUUCUCUCAUGCAGAUGUCCCAUAGUUCAUAGUUCAUUUAACUUCUCUUUUCCUGUGGGGUAUUUGAGCUGCUUCCUAUUUGCCUGUGUAAAGAAUCCUGUGAGAAACAUGUUUGCCCCUUCCCUUCCCUUCCCUUCCCUUCCCUUCCCUUCCCUUCCCUUCCCUUCCCUUCCCCUCCCCUCCCCUCCCUUCCCUUCCCCUCCCCUCCCCUCCCUUCUCCUUCCCUUCCCCUUUCCCUUCCCUUCCCCUUCCCUUCCCUCCUUUCUCUCUCUCUCUCGCUGUCUUACACACUCUCUCUCUUUCUCUCUUUCUUUCUUUCCUUUCUUUCUCUUUCUUCUCUUGCUGUGUCACCCAAGCUGGAGUGCAGUGAUCAUAGCUCACUGCAGCCUUGAACUCUGGCAAAUUAAACAAACAUUUUUUGUAGAGAUAGGUUCUCACUAUGUUGCCCAGGCUGAUCUUGAACUCCUAGCCCCAACUGAUCCUUCUGCCUUGGCCUCCCAAAGUGCUGGGAUUAUACUCAUGAACCACUGCAGCCAGCCUGCAUCACAUCUUUAUAGGCAGAGAGGCCUGAUUUGUCCAGAGAUUGUUGGGCAGUCUAGAGAGGCAGAAAGCUACUAUCAUUAUCGUGGUGAUCUAAAAAUCACCUAAAUGUGCAAAAAGCUCUUCUAAGUGUGGGGCACAAAGAUGGAAAACACAUAUUUUUGACUAUAAAGAGUUAGCAAUUUAGUUACUACUUAGGAGGCAAAGUCUACAUGAAAGAUAAUAAUUAAUACAAGGCAAUAACUAGCCCCAAGGCAUGAAAUGUGGACCAGCACAUGUUGUACAGAGACUUGACACUAAAAACUGUUGAUUUAUUUUUAUUUGCAAGAGCUGAGAGUUUGGGCCACUGAUGAUGUGUGAUCCAAAGUGUGGUGUGGAUUUAUAAUAAAACAGAACUGGUUUCAAC
rnacentral:lncRNA from 1 species